CCGAAAAGAGGAACCACUCUUUUGUAAGUGCGAUAGCUUGAAGACAUACUGCAUGACUUUUGUCACAUAUCUUGUCUUAGGGGUCCUAAACGGUCAUGCAGCCCAAUAACACUUGUGUCUCUGGAGAUGGCACCUCAUGUCCAGCCCCUAAUUCUCCCAUAGGUCUUGCUGUGGGCCUAACGCUCUUUUUUGUGAUGCUGGUUGCGAUUGCCGUUACAAUCGUGGUCAAAUUCUGGAAGAAAAAAUGGAAUCUGCCUCUGUUAAGUCAAAGGAAAAGCCAAAAGGAGGCCGACGAGGCUACACCGCAGUGGGACCACGAGUACACUAGCAUGGUCCGAACACAAUCAACCGAGAAUAACCCUAUCUAUGAAAACUUGAAAGGCCAGAAAAGCAUCGCCAACCCUCAGAGCAGGCCGCCUUGUGUCUCUGCUGAUGAUGUGUACUUACAGUGCGAUGCCCCCGAUGACGCAAUCUACAGUAACGAUCCUGCGUGUAACCUCGCCAUUCUCCCUGAACCCCAAGAUGAUGUCUAUAUUGUCCCAGAUGCAUAGGUUCACAAUAUGAUUGUUUUUGUUUCUUAGAAUUUUGACAUCAAGUCCACAAAAAUGGCUAAACAAACAGCUGACAUUUAGAACUCUAUGAACUUAAUAUAGUGGUCAACUGUUGGAAUUGUAGGUGUAUUGUAGUAAACAAAAAAUCAACUACCAGACCAAUUCACAAAAUUGUUUUAUGAAUAAUUAUUUUUGUCAUAAUUGUAAACCCUUUGGACUCCUAUGUAUUUCAAUAAAAUUAAUUAAUUAAUUAAAUAAACCUUCAUAAAAUAAACAAUUGUACAUGGAAAAAAAAUAUGGGGAGAAUAUUAACUCAAAUCGUUAGUUGUUUAUGUCAAACAUUCACUACCUCCUUGAAUCAAAUAAAAAAUAAAUUAUAAAAAUAAAUAAAUAAAACAACAAACACCACAAUAAAUUCAUUUUAAUAGUAAAUAAUAAAAAAGCAAAAAUGAAAUUAUUAAAAAUAAGAAACAAUCAUUUACUGUCAGUCCCUCCCAGUUCUGAAGGAGCAAAAGAGUCAAAUUAUUGUAAAUACGUAAAUUAUGUUACACUUUUUCAAGUUUGAUUAUUAUUACUGUUUUUUCCUCUUCAAAAGUUUCAAUUGAUCUUGCCAUUUGAGAGGAGAUUUUUUUUUUAUUAACCCAUCCCCGAUAUAUUCUUCUUGUUGGGAGGCACUGUAUGUUUACAUUUAUAUAACAUACAUUAAACAAAUGUAAAGUAACCAACAACCGUUUUGUAAAGUUUCAUUUUGUAAAUUUCACUUGACUUGUUAGAGAUUCUAACAUUUGAAAUGAAUGCAUUGUAAUGAGAAGAACAUACUGUAUACUGUAUUUUCUUGGGGGAAAAAAACAUAAUUUAGUUUUUUUUUUUUAUAUAUAUAUAUAUACAAAACAAGUUAUUGUUUUGAUUUACUGUAAAUCAGUCAGUUUAAAUGUGCUAUCACUGAACUUUGCAAGGAAGAAAAAAAAAAAUUACCAAAAACUCUUAUUUAUUAUUAUAACUAUUCAUGUCAUGUAUAUGUUCCUCACCUCGGCCAAGGAUACCGUUAAAGCCGGGUAAUUAAUAUGAGAUACCGUGACGCAAUCAAUAAGCUGAUGUUUCAUGCAGAUACACCCUGACCUUCAUAAACUACUGAACUAAUUUGUUGUCUCCUUGUCAUAAUUCCCUCUUUGGUUCUGAAAUGUCCUUGUUGAUACUGUAAGUUCAAGUGCAACAGGUCAGUAUGGAUGAAUAACAAUUACAAUAUUUUUCAGAAUAUUAGUCGUACUUUUUUUUCAUAAUUUGGCUGUUUCUGUGAUUUAUACUCAGCUGUGACUUAUACACAGUAUACAGUGGUAUGAAAAAGUAUCUGAACCUUUUGGAAUUUCUCACAUUUCUGCGUCAAAUCACCAUCAAACAUGAUCUGAUCUUUGUCAAAAUCACACAGAUGAAAAUACAGUGUCUGCUUUAACUAAAACCACCCAAACAUUUUUAGGUUUUCAUAUUUUAAUGAGGAUAGCAUGCAACAAUGACAGAAGGGGAAAAUAUAAGUAAGUGAACCCUCUACGUAAGGAGACUUACAGAGCAAUUGAAACCAAUAUUUACCAAACAUUUUAAGUCAGGUGUGUGCCUGUUAGGUUUUGUGUUUGGUUUCUCCUUGUGUGACUUGUCCUGUGAUUACCCAUUGCUCUCACCUGUGUGUGUUUUCCCAGUGUAUUCUGCAAUCUGCAUCCACCUGUGUUACCCAGCUGUUCCUUGUCUCGUUAUCCCUUGUCUGCUUGUGUGUAUAUAUGCUCCCAUUUUCUGUUCACUCCUUGCUGCGUCAUUGUCAAUGUC